rnacentral:tRNA from 1 species
UAGAUUAUAUCUUAAUUAAAAGUAUUUCAUUUACAUUGAAAAGAUAUUAAUAUUUAAUUAAUCUAA